AAAUGCCCCCAUUAUGGCUGAAAUACUAAAGCAAAGCAUAGAUGUUGUUGAGAAGAGAUAUAAGUGCCUGCUUUUGUUUAAAAUAAAUUAUUUAUGCCACUGGCAUACAAACAACAUCAACUGGACAACUCUUGUGAAUGUAACAAGACCUCUUAAAAGUCAACAACAGGAUUAAGUGUCAUUGUCUCAUGUAUCUGGCAUGACAGUUUAUUUUAUUCUGAGAUAUUUUAUGUAAUUUUUUUCCCUGUGACUCUCGAGUUUGUCAACAUGCCAUCAUAUUUGGUGAUCACACAAUAGUCAUUUCAUGCCUCUGGUUUUGUCUAAAGGGGGCUAGACAGGGCAGCAAAAUCAAUUUCUUCCCCAUCUUUGUAGGAAGAGACAACGGGAAAUUGAAUGUUGAAUCUGCAUUGAGGACAUAUUAGCAUUUUAACUCGGGGAUCUGUCACGCACACAGCGAGCCCCAGGUGCAGUCAAGCACUGUCUGGACAGUGAUGCCCAGCCAACUCUUUGGCAAAAAAGAAAAGAAAAGAAAUCCCUUUGUUUAACCCUUGACUUCCUUUGUUACCUACCCUGUUUCAACUGCAUGUAACCCAAGACACUCUCUCUAAAGUACUCAGAGGCAAAAUCAUGAAGUAGGCCUCUUUUGUCAAAAUCACCCCUCCCUACAAUGGCUAGCUGUUCAAUUGUACUCUUCAGAUUCCCAGGUAGCAGGGCAAGGGGAAUUGUUAGUCACUUUAACUAAUGUUUAAUGUGUGUCUAUCUCCCAGGACAUGCCCCCUGCUCUCUGAGAGCUUGGGGUGCUUGGUAACUUCCUCAGUGGAGACACCCCAGGCACCUGCUGGGGUGUAACAAAUAUCUCAGUCUACUUGGAAACCUCACUCCUCCCCCAUCACGCCACUCCCAAGCAUCCAAGCCACCAUGCUUUAGGUCCUCAUUCCAAUCCCAAUGACAGCGAGUAAAGAAUCUCUGUUAACAUGCGGGAUGCCCACCGAGCAGGAGCUAGUUUCUUUCAGUUACGUGCAUGUUAGCUCUAAAGAAUCAGGUGGGGAAACGGGAUUAAACUAGACAAGUGGAAAAACUCAAACACACACGCUCUUUCAUUUCUUUAAUAUUUUUAUGCUUUUCUUCUUAUACCUUGGUAAGUCCUGGAAGCUCAUUCACUUAUAUUUCCUAUCUCUUUAUUUUAAAGUAGUUAUGAAGUCAUGGCAAGUAAUCAAAACGUUUCAAGGGUUCUUAUAUACAUCCAGUUUCCCCAGUGGUUUCAAAUUAUAUAAUUAUGGCAGGCUAUCAAAGAGAGAAAAUCCACACUGAUAGGAUUCAGUUGGUAACUGUAAAAUAAAAACAAAAGUAUCACUCUAAAGAUAAUCUGGGCUCUUUUAAACUCCUUUCUAUAUUCUGUUUCUAUUUACAAGUGCUAACCACGAAGAUGGUCCUGGGACACCCAAGGUUAUCUGUCUACAGAGGGAAGACUCUCCAACUAAGUAGAGAUGGGACCCAGGCUUUACUGAAGGCCCAAGCCAAUGUCAUAAUGAGAGCAGCAGAGAACACACAUCAGAAGGCAUGGGUGCAAGGUCUCAGAUUUCAGGAUUCAAGAGAGAUACUGAAAUGGACUGUCUUUUUGACUAAGGGACUUACUGGGAGAGUCACUGUGACAUAGAUAGAUGUCUAUGUCAUUAGAUGACAUGAUGAGGUUCUGAGUCAGUUGGGGCCAUGGUCUCCUCUUACAGGUUUUGGGGGAAGAGUGGUAUAGCAUAUAAUUGACAACUACUCCAAGUCAUGUCUCUGAUUUCCAUGUAACAGAGUGAAUGGGAAGAUUUGGCUCUUUACUUAAUGAGUGUCUAUCAUACAGGAUGUACACCCUAUAUUUCCUAAUAGCUUAGAGUGCUUGGUAAACUUCCUUUGUGAAAGACAGAGGGACUGGAGAGAUGGCUCAGCUGUUAAGAGCACUGACUGCUCUUCUGUAGGUCCUGAGUUCAAAUUCCAGAAACCACAUAGUGGCUCAUAAACAUCUGAAAUGAGAUCAGAUGCCCUCUUCUGGUGUGUCUGAAAACAGCUACAGUGUACUUACAUAUAUAGUAAAUAAAUAAACCUUUUUAAAAGAAAAGAUUCACAGUCACAGUAUAGUACCUUCCAUUUCUUUAUAGUAGCCAAGGAUCCAGAGAAAAAGAGGCCUGGGUAGCCCUUAGUUAAAGGACAACAAUAGGGUUGUGACCUUGAGAUAGCAGCUAACCUCAACAGUCUCCAUUGUCUUCAUUGAUGGGACAGAGAGAGAUUGCUUCUGCCUACUUCACAGAGUUGUCCUGAGGAUCAAAGUCAGUGGCAGAUGAAGGGACAAAGAAGCCUGGCUACAGAGUGCCACCAUGAAGUUUAUGUGCGUCCCUGAUACUACCACUGAUUAUAGACAUGUCGUUUUUCGUUUGUUUCAUUUUGUGUUUUAAAAGUAGCCUUAUACUG
rnacentral:lncRNA from 1 species